AUUGCGAUCUUAACGAGGCUCGUUAAAGCUAAAGAAGAUAUGUAGACUGGAGAUGCUUAGCAGAGACGGGAAGGGAGGGCGGGAGGCUGAGAGAGCUUUAAAAGGGUGACAAAUGGACAACCAAUGACUGCAACUCCGGAAUACACGUUUUGAAUAGAAGCGAGUCAAUUUGCACAUUAUUUUCGUACAGUUUUUCCUGUAGUAGCUACUUUUUAAAAAAUCCUUUUUAUCGAGGGGAAGGAAAGCGUUAGGGUCUUCUACGUGUUUCCUUUUGAUAUAUGUUAUCACUUUCCAUUUUCUUGUGUUCUAAAAGAUCAAAUUAUGACACAAUCCUAUAAUCUUUCGGCUUUUUCCCUGGAUCCGUCGAUGAUUUUAUAAAUGUUUUAAUUUUAUGACAGGGUCUGAGCAUGACUUUACUCGGACUCGCUGGUGUGUGUGGUCACUUUCUGUGUGUGGGUGCUGGUCCGAGUGCAGACUGCAGUGUGAUGCCGCUCCCCCUCCUGCUGUCCCCGGCCUUGCCUCCGGGACGCUGGGCGCAUCUCUGGCCCCCUGCCCGCUGCCUCCUCUCCAACCAACACAAUUUAUUGUUCCAAAUGAAUAUCGAUGCACAGCGUUGUGUUGAUUAAACAAAGGUCAUGGCGUUUAGUUCGAAAAGUAAUUUACCAAUGGCAUCGCCCUUUUAAUGCCACCAGUUUAUCACGGGUUUUUGUCAUAGUCCAGCCCUGUAAUUAAUACCAUUAGUAUUGGAAUUACAAUUAAAUGGCAACAUCAAAGCUUGUUGUGGACAUAAAAGCAGUUUUCAUGUAUUUGAUCUAGUGGUAAGGACAUGAUCAAUGUCCACAUCCAGUCACAGGAUUCGGCUUACAGCAGUAGCCACGGCGGUGUGAUUUUCAUGUUUAUGGCUAAAACGGCUUCAUAUUUAGACAGGGCUUAUAGGGUGUUAAAAUAGUGUGAGUUCACUCUAACACGAACAGUGCUCACAUUGUGAAAGGGCCGUGUACAAGGCGUAGCAUCUAGACUCUGCUUAAUCCGCCCUCAAUAAAGCUGACAUAAUGAUCCUAAGCCGCCUUUCUACAAAAUCAUUCAGGAAUUCAAAACUUUUCCUUCCCUCUCUCAGAUUUGCACAUUCUCCGGGGCUGGCCAGAUAGACCACCGACUUCAAGCUCAGGGGGACAGUGAGUAGACAUGCAUGUAUAGUCAGUGCUACCUGUUUAUGUCCACCAUUUCACCUGAACUGACAUACUUUAAUAACUGCGGGUGAGAGUGUGCAAUUACGCACGUUUGCGCACUUUUACGCAUCGGUUUUUUGGGCAAAAGGGAGUACUGCAUGUACGUAGACCUACGUGCAUGUUGUGCAAGUGUCUGUAUGUGCCUGUAAUACAGAGCAGGGGUUGUGAUGAUCUUGUUGCAGGGUCAGGCGUUUGGUUUGUGUGUUUCCUUUGGGGUUGUGCGCGUGCGCGUGUGUGAGGGGGUAGGGUAGUAGCUAUAUGGGAUCAAACCUGUCCACUGCGCCGCUAUACGAACCUCAGUAGAACUAAUUCCAAGUGGCACUUGAACUGGUCCCGUUGGAAAGCUCUGUGGACUGGAAGUAAAGGCUGGUAUUUUCGUGUGCCCCCCGCACCCCCCGUCUCACACACACACAUACACACACACACACACAUGCACACACCACCCCAAAAUUAUGUUGAGAAUGCAGGCUUAGCAGCACUCCUCCGAAUAUGCAAAGCCUCCUAUACCUGCCUGGGUUCCUGGUGCACCAAUUUAGGUGAUCACCAUUCAAGCCAAGGCUGCAGGUAUUAUCCAGCAUUAUGUUCUGGAGGAGCCUUGUUUGGGAGUAGCCCUCGCAGGCAAUUCGGAAAUCACUCCUAGAAGAGACUAGAGGUGAAAUGUAAAACCUGAAUGGGGAUUGAGGGGGAAAAGCCACUGGUAAUUCACAUUCUUUUACAUGGCUUUUGUUUACGUUAAGCAUGUAAUUAACACCCCCCAAACAAGUUUAUUCACCUGCCCUAAUUGUGUGUUUAUCCGAGGGCUUGCUGAAUGUUCCGAGCAGCGGGGGACGAGAGCUCUGAAUGCACAUCGAGCAUUUAGCGUCUUCUCCGUUUACUUUCAGCCUAAACCUCCAGACACCACAACACAAACAGCAUUUUGCACGCUAAAACACUGAUAAUAUGUUGGUCAAGCAGACAGAGACGCCUGUCGUCUGCUUUGCACCGACACCUCACCUCCUGUGAUCACAUUUCUGUUGAUUGAUUGUAAAGCCCUUUGACAAACUUUGUUUAGAAAACUUUUAUAUAAAUAAAUCUAGUUUUAGCCGUUAAAGAAAUGCUACUAUUCUUUGUCUCCAACAGUUCUUACAGCACGCAAUGGAUCUAAAAUGUUAGUUACUAUACUGGUUAAUUGCCAAUUAGUAAGUUAUUAUCAGUCUGUUCCAAUAAGAGCAGCAAAUAAACAAAGCUGGUGCUACGUCAUGUACGUGAGUGAGAGAGAGAGAAGGGAACCGGAUGACAGAAAGACAGAAAAAGGUGUUGACUGUAAAAGGUAAGAGGGAAAGAGAAAGAAGGCACGAAAGAAAGGGUCUUGUUUUAUUUUUUUGCUCCCUCGUUGACCCCGGUUUGGCAGAGGCUGGCCAGAAAAGGCAGCACACCCCUCCCUGGCAAACACAGGAGAGACUCAUGUGUCUGCUGCUCCAUCCCGGAUUCAUCUCAACAAUACACAGGACGAGACUGUGGAGCAAUGACGGAGCUGCGAACAGGGUCCAGUUCACGGACUGUCACCAUUCGAGCAUGGGACUGGACGUGACACUGGUUCACUGCUAUUUCACAGGUCAAUUUGUCCGAGAUCAGGAUGGAAAUCCAACCGCUGCUCCUGGGGACUUCCUGGCAGGGCUGGGAGCUUGUAUCGGAGCUGUCCAAUCAGUGUAUUUACACGGGUUGUUAGCGACAGUUAAUGAGGGCUCCUCCCCGGGCCGGUAGAGAAAGGCGCCUCAACAUUAAGAUUUACCUUGUGUCAACUCGUUACUUCUAAUGAACCUCCAUGCAAAAGCCUCCUCGUACUCAAUGGAGCCGUGCGCCCGGAUCUUGUGUGUGAGACCCUGGAAGAGUGGAGCUGCAAGCCGGCCUCCCUCUCCCGCUUUUCUUCCGCUCACUCAGGGAGAGUUGCUUUUUCUCUGCAGGUCUGCGCUCCAUGAUGCAUGCAUGCAUGCCUGUGUGUGUGUGUGUGUGUGUGUGUGUGUGUGUGUGUGUGUGAACGUGUGUAUUGAAUGAAGGUGGGUGGUGCAUAUAUAUAUAUAUAGCCUAGCCUAUCUUAAUAAGAAUGUGACGUUGGCAACCCAGGCAUCACUUAUGAUUAAUAAUGACACAAUAACACAUGGUUAUAAUGCGCUGUAAAUAAACACAUUGUAGCCUACAGACUAUAAAGUCAAAUGUGUUGAAAUUGACAACGUUUUUAAAGACUGGUGUCUAAUUAUCACUAAAAGUGUGAUCAGAGACAGGACAGAGGAGAAAGAGAAGGAGGGUGUUUGUGUUUGCGUGCCCGUAUCACAAACCUGAAAUGUCUUCUUUUGUUUGGUGAAUGAGGCUUGACAUGUCAGCUUAUUGCCUCUGCAGAAGUAAGUUCAUGUAUAAUCACCCUCCAUACCCCACUAGAGCACCGAGCUCAGCUCGGGCCCUGGCCCCUCCGUCCACCCCUCGUCUGGCCCCUAGUGUGGCUUGUUGAGCCGCAUCAGCAACACAUCACUGCCCUUCAAUUCAGGUACAAACUGGAGGAGUUUGGCGGAUCCCUGAAGUGGACUCCCCUCUUACUCUUCUAACCCUCAGAGACACCACUUAAAAAUCAAUUAGGCUCGUCUAGUUUCUCCCUCCCCGCCAAUCAUCAUCUCCGAAACAGGUGGCUCCACCAAAUUUUGGGAGGGAUUUAAAAGUAAAAAUCUAACUUAGAUUCAUUAUUUAAUUUGAACUUCGGUCCAGUUAUGAGUGAGUGGGUGCGCCCGCAUGCACUUUAUAGCCCUUCUGAAUUUAUUCCACUUUCUCUCUGCCUUCAUGAGGUCAUUUCCAUAUUUUUAGUAGCCUAUUAUUUUGACGCAAAAUAAAAGCAGAAUAGGCUACGCUUAGUUGUGAUUUGGGAAAUGAAACGUCAUCUCUAUUUUUUUAUUUUGUAGCCCUUGUAUUUUACUGUCUCUUGAACUGUCAGGGCCUUUAAGAGUGGUAUGCUUACAAACUGUUCUACAUCCACCAGCAGCCAGCAGGUGACAAAGUGGCCACAACGACAUAUAUUCACGGUUGCAGCGAAAAGCAGUUUGAGUUUCAUAUCCUUGAUAUAUGUAUAAAUAGGCCUUUAUAAUAAUUUUAUCACUCAUACAGCCUCUUUCUUCACGCCGGUAACUCCGUAUCAAACGCGCAUUUCCCCAUGACGUCUCUUUCAUCAUCAGUUUAACCGCACAGCCGCCUGCUCCCCGUGUUAAAGAGCUACAGCAAUAUGACACGUAGCAGCGGCGCUGGAGGAGGCCGUGUGUUCACUCUUCCAGGUAGAUGGGUUGAUUUGGAGACAGAGGCAGAGAGGGAGAAAUAAAUAUAAUGGGUGCAUAUCAGAUGCAAUGCCCCAAGCUUUACAUAUGAUGCUCACCUUCCAUUCCCCAAAGACUUUUUUGAAGAGCAAAACAAGACCUCCGGUUUAUUUCAGCUUCCAACCCUUGAAGAUUUACUGUGUGUCAGUCAUUCAUCUGCAUGUGUGGGCCUGAAAGUGCACUCGGGACUCCAGAGAGCUAACACGAUGGCCAGAGUUACAUCAGCACAAAUGUUGACAGAAUUUCUCCAUGAAAAUAUGACUGUUUUGGACUUGACUGUCAAGGCUGAUUAAGCGCCUCGGUCCUUAGAUGCAGAUAGGAGCUAGGGAGAUGGCCCUUAAGCCCGGUGUCACAGGAGCUGACAAGCCGUAAUUACUCUGGCUGACAUAUCGCUCUCAAAGCUUACUAAUGUGGGAGAUGUGGAUACCACAGACAGCAUGUAUACAGGCGAGGCCGCUCAACUCUUUGGCCACGCAGUCCCUUUUAACCCGGGUUCAGAUGCUGCUGGGCUGGCCACAUGCUCCACAGCUGACCUUUUCCAUUUUAACAUUUCAGUAGUGGAAUAACCUCUUAUUUAUAAGCUAGUGAUAUUGCAGAGGAGAUGAUAAGGCUGUGUGUGAAUGAAAACAGCACACUGCAACACACAGACAUAAGACACACAAAACAGUAAAUCAGUGGUGGAAAGUAACUAAGUAGCCUGCAUUUACUCAAGUACUCCUACUUAAAAAUGUAGAUACUUGUACUUGUACUCUACUACAUUUAUUUAUCAUCUUACUACUUUACAGAUUAAUAUUUGACAUACAAAUAUAUGAUAAUUUUAUAAUAUUACAGGUAUGCCCAUAUAAAGUUGUAAUAUUAGUUUCACCUUGACCAACUACAUUAAAAAAGCUCCUUCUGUACUUUACUUAAGUACAACUUUGAAUGCAAGACUUUUACUUGUAAUGGAGUAUUUUUACAUUGUGGCAUAGCUGCUUUUAAUUCAAUUCAACUCAGUUUUAUUUAUAUAGUGCCAAUUCAUAACAGAAGUUAUCUCAUAGUUACUUAAGUAAAUUGUCUGAAUACUUCUUCCAGUAGGCUCAAUAGGCCUAUAUUUUAAAAUUGUAAAGAUACUAUAAGAGAUCAAAUGUUCUAAAGUAAGCUGCUGUUAGGAAGUACAUUCACUAAAGUACUGCACUUCUGUACAAAUUUAAGGGGCUUGUACUUGAGUAUUUCCAUUUUAUGCUACUUCAUUCUUCGUCCCCAAUACAUUUCAGAAGGAAAUAUUGUACUUUUCACUCCACUACAUAUAAUUGACAGGUUUAGUUACUAGUUACUUUGCAGGUUCAGAUACAAAAUGUUUAACAUAUAAAAUAUUAUGCAAUUUUAUAGAUUAAACUGCCCAACAGCAUAAAAACUAGUUAAAAAUAUUCCCACUUUGACCAGCAAAAACAUAAAGUUCUGCUUACAUGUUAAUGCAUCAACAUAAUAACAUUCUAAUAAUAUAAUAUGGGACCUAUAUAAUGAUUUAACACUCAUUUGUGAUACUUUAAGUAAGCUACAUUUAUCUGAUAAUACUUCUGUUCACAGUCAAAUUCUGUAUACCAAACGUUUACUCUUAACAGAGUAUUUUUACCUUGUGACAUUAUUAUCUUUACUUAAGUAAAGGAUCCAAGUACCACCACUACACUCAGUGUUUCAGCACAUUAUUGAACUAAAAACGUAGACUAGUUGCUGCAAUCAGGAAGUGUUUACACGUGCAGUGGCUGCUUGUCACAAUCAUUUAACUCACAACAUACACAAUCUCUAUGUCUCUCAGCGGGUAAAUGCUUUCAUUAAAGCCUUAUUUUGUAAUCGACUAAUGUGAGUGAUCUAUAGAUCUAUAUCGAGUAAGUGUGCCUCUCUCUCUCUCUGUCUCUCUCUCGCUCUCUCUCUCUCUCUCUCUCUCUCUCUCUCUCUCUCUCUCUCGUGUGUGUGUGUGUGUGUGUGUGUGAAGGUUACAGUCACCAUGUCACCCACGAUCCUGUCAUUGUCUCACAUUUGUUGGUUGCGGUGUUUGCAUUGCACGCAAUGGACGAAACCGACGUCACAGUCGCUCGCUCUCUCAAUUCAAUCGGGCUUUAUUGGCAAGAGAAACAGACGUUAACAUUGUCAAAGCAUGUGUGAAAUAAAAUAAAACCAUAUACAUAAACAGAAGUCUCUCUCUUUCUCUCUCUUCCCCUCUCCCUCUCUCUCCCUCUCUCUCCCCCCCUCCUUCCCUCCCCUCUUUGACUGCAGCUUUUGACAUUACUCCACUCGAUUGCCCGUUUACCCGUUUACCCCCAAGUCAAGUUUGAGACAGGCAAGAAGUGUAAAAGAGGUGGGCCAUGUCAUAUCCGCUCAGUGUGCAUGGGAUUGUUGGCCUGCUCGGCUGUGAUCAUUGUUCAGGAGAACAAUUACUGCACAGGCAGGAAGGCAGCAUAUCAGAAAAAGUGGAAGAAUAGUUGCAAACAGAGGCUGGUUGGACAAUUUGCACAUAGUUUUUCACUGCAGCAGUUUCAAUAUGGGUUUAUCAUGUACUGUAGUUAUUGUUGCAAGUUGAAGUUGUAGGCUAUUUGUUUUUAGCUAUAGAUCGAUGUAGGCUAUUAUACAUUUUUGCACUUUUUUAUUAUUAUUAUUGGGCUUGUCUGUUGCUUUCUUCCAUUAAAACUAUUUACUUUGCUGUACUUUGAAGACAUUUUGUCAAAUUAAUUAAGAGUAACUGUACCCUAGCCUACCACCUGGACACCACUUCAAGGGAUAUUAUUAUUAAUGGGAUAUAUCCACCUUAAUAGGCUACAAACACACUCCCGGGUGUCUGUGAAAGUUAAUUUAAAUGACCACGAGAACCCUUAAACUGCGAAAAGUCCCAGAACAUCAGUCUUAAACUUGAUGUUAUUUCUAAUACUUUAAGAUGCCCUAGAUGACUCUUUUAUAGGCUACAGAUCUCUGAUUCUGACGUAGAAAAUCCAAAUCCUGUAGAAAUAUUUAGAAAAUAUGUUGGAUGUAUAUAUAUUUACAUAUUUAUGUUUAUGUAGCCUAUACUUAGUUAAGUUUGUAAUGACUUUUCUUUGUUUAUUUCGUCCCAAAAAUAUGCCUUUAGGGUUGGUUUGCUGCUAGGAUAUUUCAGGCUAGGUCCAGGUUCAUCCCUGGACCAAAGUCCUUCUUAUUAAACCUGCGAGACACUGGGAUGGCGCAUAGUCUAAAACACACAGGCUACAUUUGUUUUCGCACACAGGGCUGUUUAUCGCCCGUCCACUCAGUCCUAGUCUGUAAUGCAGUUCAGCCACUGGAGAAAGUGCUACUGAUUAUUUAACAGCUACAGUAAGCGGCGUUGUUGGGCUAUCACCUGCAGUGUGCUCACGUGGAUUGUUUUCAAAACACUCGCAAGAAUAGGCUAUCAAAAAGAAAUAACAUCACUGUUUUGAUUUUUGAUAGAGUAUUUGGCUAAUUGUUUUCUUUAACAACAAAAAAAUCUCGAAUAGUAGCUAGCCUAGGUGGAAUGGUUGCUAGGCAACAGAUUGGUGUCAGUGUUGUGGUGGUUUAUGGCGCACUUAUGUUUACGCAAUCUCUUUUUAUAGAAAACGUCACAGCGGCGAUGACUCAGCAGCCGAUGAGAGGUGAUGACCGGAACUAACCGUCCUAUAACUGGAUAUUAGCUUACAGGAUAAUAACGGAGGGUUGCGGCGGCCGAGGAGCCGGUUACUCACGGGUGAGCAGCGCCCGUCCAGUCUGAUUUAUGUCACACAUCUCCGUUUGGCUCGCCAAUCCCUCGAUCAAUAGCGGACGUCUGGGAGAGCAGGGGGUGGGGGGUGGUGCAACAGGUCAACAGCAGUUUGACCCAUGCAGCAGCUCAGCACUAAAUUAAGUGCUACAUAGAAAUGAUGCUGACAAGCAGUAGUUAAUAAUGAAAAGAACAAUCAGCAGCAAGGACAGGCCAAUAGACUAUAUUCAUUAUAUUAUUGGUUCUUAUAGGCUUAUAGAUUUUGGGGGGAUAAUAAUGUUGCGAAAUAAUAAUAACAGCAAUAACAUUUUUCAGUCAUGUAUUCAUUCAUUAUUAUUAUAUCGUUAUUAUUAGCGUCUUUAAAGCUCCAUUUAAAAUCACAAAGCCCUGAAACCACGGGAUUUUGAUUUUGCAGCCCAUCCUCUGAGAUUCCAACAGCUUUCAUUAAUCACUACGGAUACUUGUUAAAUCAAAAUGUGGAAAUAACUGAAGUCUUAAAAAGUGUACCCUAAAGGGACAGAAAUAUUUAUUUAUAAAUGUUUAUGAUGAGCACUUUAUUUGGGGAAAAUAGGCUACCCCUUCGUUAAUUAACUAAAGCUGUCAUUUAUAUUUGAUCCACGCCAUAGUCUAAAAAGAGAAAAAGAUGGUCUUCAAUUAAAUUGUAGUCUGUCUGUCUUUGUCGAACGAGACUGAUAAAUGCUACAGUGCUGAUUGGCUUACAGUAUCAGUAGUUUGUAUCAACUUAGAUACGCUCACUAUGCACACCCUCUCCCUGCUAUUGAAACCAUAAUGUUUUCAUACGCAUGGGGCUCAUACACACACUGCUGAAACCAUUGAAGCCUGCAUGUAACCUGCCAUGUCCACACACCUACACACGCAAAUACAAAAAAAGUGAUGCUCAGACCACCCAUAGAAAGUCACCAUAUAAGUAUUGUAAUAAUUUAAAAGUACUAAAACAAACUAUACACAUUAUAGUCUUGACCUAUAUCCGUCCUGCUAUAUGACACAUUGAGAUAUUUCAGCUUUAUUAUUGUAAAUGCUCAUUCAUUAUUCAGCUCCUAUUUAUUAGCUUUGGAUGGCAGAUGUCAGAGCGCGAUCGAGAUGUUUAUGUUUGACUGACUUAAGGAGCCAUUAUCCAGCCCGCUUAUCAAACAUUCAUGUGUGGCAGCUGUAGUUGUGGCUCUGCCCUCCAUCGUGUCUCCUGUGGCCGAUUCAUUUCUCUUCUUAAGCAACCACGACCUUUCCACUCAGUUAACCUCUUAUCUUUUAACAUUUAAGAGACAGCUUAGCCACAUCAGAG